UUGUGCUAAGGUAGCAUAAUCAUUUGUCUUUUAAUUAAAGACUAGAACAAAAGAUUAAACAUUUUAAUCAAUAUAUUAAAAUUAAUAAAUAAAAAUUUUUUUAAAUGUAAAAAAACAUUUAUAAAUUAGGAAGACGAUAAGACCCUAUUAAACUUAACUUCUGUUAAACUGGGGCAGUUAGUUAAUUAUUAUUUUAAUUUAAAUUUAAAUAAAAAUCAUCCUAUAAAAUAGAUUUAAUAAUCAAGUUACUAUAGGGAUAACAGCGUAAUAUUAAUUUAAAGACCUUAUUAAAAUAAAAGUUUACGACCUCGAUGUUGAAUUAAUGAUCUAUAUCGUUGCAAUAAACAAUUAUAGAAA
rnacentral:rRNA from 1 species